rnacentral:RNase_P_RNA from 1 species
GUAAGACAGAUGAUCGCGUGCAUCUUCGGGAUGUAUGAGGAAAGUCCGGGCUCCACAGGGCAUGGAUGCCGGAUAACGUCCGGCGUAGGUAACUAUAGGGAAAGUGCAACAGAAACACACCGCCGAAACGGGUCAUGCCGUGGCAAGGUUGAAAUUGUGAGGUAAGAGCUCACAGGGAAAUAUGGUAACAUAUCUCCCGUGUAAACCCCAUCCGGAGCAAGACCAAAUAGGACAUGGAAAGCGGCGGCCCGUCGCUGUCCGGGAGGUAGGUCGCAUGAGCCUGGUGGCAACAUCAGGCCAAGAUAGAUGAUCGUCUGAUACAGAACCCGGCUUACAGUCUUGCCC